UACGAAGGGGGCUAGCGUUGUUCGGAAUUACUGGGCGUAAAGCGCGCGCAGGCGGUUCUUUAAGUCAGGGGUGAAAGCCCAGAGCUCAACUCUGGAAUUGCCUUUGAAACUAGAGAACUUGGGUACGGGAGAGGUGAGUGGAAUUCCGAGUGUAGAGGUGAAAUUCGUAGAUAUUCGGAAGAACACCAGUGGCGAAGGCGACUCACUGGACAUGUAUUGACGCUGAGGUGCGAAAGCGUGGGGAGCAAACAGG
rnacentral:rRNA from 1 species